rnacentral:lncRNA from 1 species
GAACACUAUUAAUAAGUUCUGUAGUCAUGGAAUUUAUGCUUUUUUGUUUUUUUGGUGCUGGGGAUCAAACCUAGGACCUUGUGCAUGCAAGGCAAGCACUCUACCAUUGAGCCAUAUCCCCAGCUAGAGUUUAUACUAGGGAUAUAGCUCAGAGUUUGAGAAAAGAUAAUAACAAACACAUAAAGAACAUAUAUACCAAUGAUAGAUGCUGUGUGGAGAAUUAAAGUAGGAUUUUUUUUUAAAGUAACUGAGUAUAUACUUGAGAUUUUUUGUCAGGGAAGCCUCCUGUGAAGAUAUGACUUUGAAGUUGAGAACUGAAUGACAAAAAGUAGCCAGUCAUAAAAGUGAUGGGUACAAUAGGGAGGAUAAUAAUUCAUGCACAGUCUCUAAGGUAGGAAAAUCUUUCUGUAUUGUAGGACCAGGAGGAAGUUCCAUAUGACCAGGGCACAGAAAGAAAUCAGGAAAGCAGCAGAAUAUGAAGUUAGAGGAGGAAAAGGUGUUUGAAUUUAUUACAAGUGUGACAGUAAGCCAUUGGAGGUUUUAAACCGAUUUGACUUAAAAUUUUAAAAGAUCACUCUGAUCUGUGGAUAAAAUACUGGGAAGGAGGGCUGGUGUUGUGGCUUAGU